GACGAACGCUGGCGGCGUGCCUAAUACAUGCAAGUAGAACGCUGAAGAGAGGAGCUUGCUCUUCUUGGAUGAGUUGCGAACGGGUGAGUAACGCGUAGGUAACCUGCCUGGUAGCGGGGGAUAACUAUUGGAAACGAUAGCUAAUACCGCAUAAAAUUGAUUAUUGCAUGAUAAUUAAUUGAAAGAUGCAAUUGCAUCACUACCAGAUGGACCUGCGUUGUAUUAGCUAGUUGGUGAGGUAACGGCUCACCAAGGCGACGAUACAUAGCCGACCUGAGAGGGUGAUCGGCCACACUGGGACUGAGGCACGGCCCAGACUCCUACGGGAGGCAGCAGUAGGGAAUCUUCGGCAAUGGGGGGAACCCUGACCGAGCAACGCCGCGUGAGUGAAGAAGGUUUUCGGAUCGUAAAGCUCUGUUGUAAGAGAAGAACGGGUGUGAGAGUGGAAAGUUCACACUGUGACGGUAUCUUACCAGAAAGGGACGGCUAACUACGUGCCAGCAGCCGCGGUAAUACGUAGGUCCCGAGCGUUGUCCGGAUUUAUUGGGCGUAAAGCGAGCGCAGGCGGUUAGAUAAGUCUGAAGUUAAAGGCUGUGGCUUAACCAUAGUAUGCUUUGGAAACUGUUUAACUUGAGUGCAGAAGGGGAGAGUGGAAUUCCAUGUGUAGCGGUGAAAUGCGUAGAUAUAUGGAGGAACACCGGUGGCGAAAGCGGCUCUCUGGUCUGUAACUGACGCUGAGGCUCGAAAGCGUGGGGAGCAAACAGGAUUAGAUACCCUGGUAGUCCACGCCGUAAACGAUGAGUGCUAGGUGUUAGGCCCUUUCCGGGGCUUAGUGCCGCAGCUAACGCAUUAAGCACUCCGCCUGGGGAGUACGACCGCAAGGUUGAAACUCAAAGGAAUUGACGGGGGCCCGCACAAGCGGUGGAGCAUGUGGUUUAAUUCGAAGCAACGCGAAGAACCUUACCAGGUCUUGACAUCCCGAUGCCCGCUCUAGAGAUAGAGUUUUGCUUCGGUACAUCGGUGACAGGUGGUGCAUGGUUGUCGUCAGCUCGUGUCGUGAGAUGUUGGGUUAAGUCCCGCAACGAGCGCAACCCCUAUUGUUAGUUGCCAUCAUUCAGUUGGGCACUCUAGCGAGACUGCCGGUAAUAAACCGGAGGAAGGUGGGGAUGACGUCAAAUCAUCAUGCCCCUUAUGACCUGGGCUACACACGUGCUACAAUGGCUGGUACAACGAGUCGCAAGCCGGUGACGGCAAGCUAAUCUCUGAAAGCCGGUCUCAGUUCGGAUUGUAGGCUGCAACUCGCCUACAUGAAGUCGGAAUCGCUAGUAAUCGCGGAUCAGCACGCCGCGGUGAAUACGUUCCCGGGCCU
rnacentral:rRNA from 1 species